GCUCGGAACGGGAGGGAGGAAGCCGCUUGGGAGGAGGUCGCGGUCGCGCAGGCGCAGUGUAGCGGCCGGGCCGAUUCUGUGUGUGUAUGUGAGAGUCUGACGGGUUCAAAAUGGCGGCGUCUGCUCCUGUAAAAGGACAAAGGAGAAGAAGAGACCUGGAGGAAGAGGAGGAAGACAGUAGCCCUGGAGUAUCUUUCUCACUCUCUUCAGAAGAGUCAGAGAUGGAGCCUGAGGAAGAGAGGAUCCGUUACAGCCAAAGAUUGGUCAGUAUUCACUUUUACCCAUCAAAUUCUCACUGUUAAUCUCUUUAUUUGCCUUUCAACCCCCAAAAAACUCCCUGGCUUUAUAGUGGGAGCAGGCUUGUUACCAUCCCAUGUAGCAAUGAGACUAGCAUCUCCAGCUUAUACAAUGAAACAUAUAACCACUUAGGUGGGCAAUCAAUCAGAUCAUUUGAUGCCUCCAGUUCACAUCAUACAAGUAUGUCUUAUUGUGGGGGAACAUUAUAACCAUGGUUGUUACCAGCCCAAUACAUGGCUAUUUAAGCUUCAAAAACGGAAAAGUCACAGGUCAAAGAAUAUGCUUUCAGACAUAAGAAACUGGCAUAGUUGUUACUUGUGACAAAACAGGCAUCUCUUAGUAUUUGGGGCAGAUGGGGAGAGGAGGAGUUGGGAUGCUGUGUACGUUAAACUGGGGCGGCUUUCCGUUGGUAUUACAUUGGCCCAAAUCUGUCUUGAGUAUACUUUGAACCAGUGACUGUCAACAUUUAAAACACUACAGCAGCACAGCUGCACCACUAUAGAGCUUCAUUGUAGAGGCUGUACAACAACAGGAGGUGCUUUUCUUCUCACUUAGUCAUCUACCUCCUUGAGUCAACAGAAGAAUUCUUCUGUCAACUUAGCACUGUCUACACUGGGCUUAGGUUGGCAUAGCUUCAGCCUUGAGAGACAUAGCUAUGCCAGAGUACUUUUUCGGUGUAGACCAGCCCGAAGGAAAUAGGCUCUACGCUGAAGUUAGUUGGAACUGGUGGUGUGUGUUUGUCUUAUUUUAGUAUUCGCACUCCAGAGGCCAGGUCUAUACUAGGAAAGUAGGUUGCUAUAACUACAUUGCUCAGAGGUGUGAAAACCCAACACCCUUGAGCGACACAGAUAAAUUGACCUAACCCCCAGUGUAGAUAGUGCUAAAUUGAUGGGAGAAUUCUCCCAUCAGCAUAGCUCCCACCUCCUGUACAGGUGGAGUACCUACACUGAGAGGUGAAUCUCUUCCAUUGGCAUAGGUAGCAUCUUCUCUGUAGUGCCACAGCAGCACAGCUGCAGCAUUUUAAGUUUAGACCUUCCCUUACAGAAUCUGAGAUUUUAUUAAUGGUGUCUGUGUCUGGGACAUAGUUCCCAUCAAGAGAAAAGAAAAAAAGCUGGUGUUCUCUUUCAUUCCCACUUCAUGGAGAAGUCAUGCUAAGCUGCAUGGUCAGCUUGGUCUCUCUGCCCUAACCCUCAGGCUUUUGACUAUUGCAAUUAAAUCUUUAUCCUUUAACGCUUUGAAAUAAAAUCAGUUGGCAUGAAGUCUAGUGAAGUGGUGCACUGAUCUCUAGGAUUAGGUUUCCCAGAGAGGGGAAAUGGUCACUUUCCUUGUCAUCUAGUCAAUCGCUACUUCUGUGCCCUAACAGCCUACAGAGAGCACUAGUGCUCACCUUGUAAAGGUGAGGUAGCAAUUGUAAUCUCUAGAGUAACUGAUUUCAUUCCCACUAAAGAAUUUGUUCCUAAGAGGAAGGAGAAGUUAGUAGGGCCAUGUUUCAUCUUGACUUAAUGAUAAAGUUCUAGUUUGAGGACUGUGUAUAGCAGGGGAUAGUGUCUGUUGCAUCUUAAAUUUUGUGGAUAUAAUCUGCAGGCUAAACAUCUGGUGCAGAAAACAUCUUAGUGAAAGACACAAAUUCUUCAUACUUCCAGCCCCUUAUGGCUUCUGUGGGAAACUCUGAAGUAACUGCUACAGGCUGUAUAGUUGUCAUUGUUUGCCAGCCAUGCCUGUUAAAAAUGGCUGUAGUCAUCAAACUUAAAAUUACUAUGAACUAUGGGCUCUUUUACCUAUAGCUGUAGUAGUAUUGGUGGUUUAGCUCCAACAAAAUGUUAUGAGCUGAAUAAACAGCAGUGUUGAACUAAGUUCAGACCACAGGAGAAGGAGCAUGGCUGGGAAUUAGAGCAGAGGACCGAGUCAUAAGCUUGGUUCUCUACCUGAUUUUGUUGGUCUUCCUGUGGCCUUGGGGUAAGUAAGUGUAGUUUUGCCAGAAAAAUCACACCCACAACCAACAUUUGCUAGGUGAGCAAAAACCCUACUGUAGAUGCAGCUAUACCAGCAAAAAGUCCUUUUACCCCUAUGGCUUAUUCUGAUAGCGUUAACUGAUGUAAGCAAAAGGAGUUAUUUUGCCGGCAUAAGCUGCCUCCACUGGAGGGGGCGGCUUGUGUAGCACUACUGGUAUAUCUAUACUGGCAAACCCUUUGUCUCACAGGGAGAUCUGUUACAUGGGGGUCAUGAUGUUUAAUUUACUAACGUUUUGUAAAUGUCUGCUGCUUUCUCCUCUGUAGCGACUUCCAAUUUACCACGCUACCACUUUAUUUGGGCUUCAUUGCCACCCCCUUCCUAAUCUCCUCUGCUAAAAAUGAUCAGUGGUUGAAGAUCUGUUGGGGUUAACUCUUUAUUGCCAGCGUUAACUAUUUAACAUGUUGUUGAGAUGAAUGGGCUGGAAAAGUAAUUCUCCUAUCCCAGGGGUUCUCAAACUGGGGGUCGUGACCCUUCAGGGGCUCACGAGGUGUCAGCCCCCAUGCAUGCCAGGGUUUCAGCUGUGAGCCAUGUGCAGGGCUGACAGUCCGAGCCCUUCAGAGCUAGGUGGCCAGAGAGCAGCUGCUGCUGGCCAUGCACCCAGCUCUAAAGGCAGUGCUGCCCCCAGCAGCAGUAAAGGUGGCAUGGUAUGGAGGGGAGGGGGAGUCACUUUUUUGGACCAAUCAUCACAGUCUGAAAUAUUUUCAAAGGGGAUCCUAGCAAAAAAAAGUUUGAGAGCCCCUGUCCUAGCUAAUGUCUCGGGCUGUAGCAGACUCAAGAAGACUGCACUUCAUCAGUUAACUUUACAGAUAAAACCAGAACGUAAUCAUGGCUGCAAAGAAGGCUAGAAACUCUUCUAAUUGCAAGCUUUGAUUCUGAGGAGUCCGAGAGCAUGUCUGUGCUACAGCAGCACAGCUAGAAUGCUGGAGCACCAUAGUGUAAAUACUUCUUACAUCGAUGGAAGGGGUUUUUCCGUUGCUGUAGUUAAUCCACUUCUCUGGGAAGUAGUACCUAGGUCGAUGGAAGAAUGCUUCUUUAACCUAGCUGUGUCUACAGUGUGGGUAGGUUGACCUAACUACAUCGCACAAGACACACAAUUUUUCACAGCCCUGAGCGGUGGGGGUAGGUCGACGUAACUACAUCACACAGGGGGCACAAUUUUUCAAAAACGCUGAGUCGUGUAGGUGACUCCCUCUAACUUUUAGGUGUAGAGCAGGCCUGAAUGUAUUUGAGUGAGCAACAUGACACCAAGUGGACGUCAAGUCUAUGGGUCAGGCAUUUGACCACCGUGGAGACUGAACUUCCUACUUGGCGCCUGCAUGGCCAUGCUGGCAGGAAUGGCAGUUUGAGUAGGAAGCAUGAACUGCAGAUGUUUAGGUUCUACUUAUGAAGAAUGAACUGAAAAAUUCAUUCUCCUGGGGCUGUGAAUCCAGUACUUUUCAUACUCAAAGACACCGCUUAAUUCUGUUUUCAUGCAGACAUGUACAGAUGGACAUUGUAGGGAGUACAUGAGUUAAGGCUUUCCAGUUAGUCGUCUGGUCAUUUUGAAGAGUCUGAUUUGUCAUAUUGCAUCAGAAUAUUGGUCCAACUAGUCGAGGAUCAUAUCUUCAGCAGCAACCAGUAUCUGAUGCUUCAGAUGGAAAUUAAAACUCUUUCCAUAUUGCACUUGGCCACUUGUAGAAUGCUGUAUAAGAGGAAGAUUCCUCUAUGAUCAUCUUAUUGGCUGAAACAUGAGACUUUAUUACCCUUGCAUCGCUAUCUGAGUUCACAGAACCACAAAUGUGUUUAGUUAUCAUGUGCUCUCCCAAAGCUGUACUUGUCUCCGUGGUCCCUUCUGAUAGUGAGUUCCACAGUCUGUCCUGGAGAGAAAUGGAUCUAGUUUGAAAAGCUACUGCCCCUUACUCUUGUGGUAUGGAGCCAAGGUAUUGUUAGUUCUGGAGAUUCUUUUCCUGUCAGUGGAGCAUCAUUGGUUUCAGUGCACAAGAGCAAAGUAAUCCCAGCUUCCCACAUCAGUUUGGUUAGAUUCAACCAUACUUUUAAAUAGCAUUGGUAUAAAAAGAAUUUCUGUACUGGCUAAUGAUUUAUUGCAGUGAAAGGGGAAUUCAGUCUCCAAGGCCUACUCAAAUCUUGUCUUCUCUGAUGUCAGUAAGAGCAUGGGAUGGUAAUUGUAGUUUUAAUAGUGUAAAAAUGUUCCACUGGAAACACAAGUAAGUGUUGCCUUUCGUAUACUGUCAGUUGCAAAAAUAGUCAUUGGUGGGAGCUAUAUGCAGUCAGUACUAGAAGGGUGGAUUAGAACCAAUGUGUGAAAGACUCCAUAUUCUUAACCCUUUCAGCAAUCUAAGGAUGCUGGGGGGGAAUAUUUGAAUCACAGGAAUAAGAAGUCUCACCCUCUCAUGGAACUCAAAGCAUUAUCCAUAUACACACGAAUUAAGACUUGCAAGACCCUUGGGAGAGAAAUUAGGGAUUGUUUCACCCACCACUGAAAUUGUUCUACAACCAUUCAGUAAUGAAGUUUAAGUUAGGAAACGAAGAGCAAUAACAUUGUAUCUAGUCAAAGCAGUUUGACUAGAAUGUAGAGCAAUAAACUGUCAUUACCAUAACUGGAAAUUCUGCAGGUCACUGGGUUUUUUAUGUUGUCAAGUCAUCAAGGCCAAGGGUCUUUGUCUCAGACUAUCUCUUUGUGUUUGUACAUAGUCUAACACGAUGGGUGUCUUGAUUGCUGAUUGGGGCCUCUGGACCCUACUGCAAUACCUAUAAUUUGAAAGGCUGCAUUUCCUUUUGUACAUUGUAUACAUCCCAUGCUGGCUGUUUUGUCAUAGUUGAAAAUGCCUCCUAUUGAAUCACCGAUACUGCUUCCCACCUACUCUCCUCCCACUGACCCUAGGUGUUCUUGGAGGUCUCCCAUUUAAGUACUGGCUUGGCCUGACCUCUUGACUAGAUCCACAUGUGAAAUCUGCAGAUGCUCUGCAUGAGAGAAACUGUGUCCCCACCCGCACAAAGUGAAAGCUCUUCCAUGCAAAGUGUGAACCUGCUUUGACAUGUUUGAUGUCCGCAGUAUCCCUCCAGACACUAGUUCAGAUAUGCUUUACAGUGUGUGGAGUCGUAGAAUAAGGGAAGGUGCUCAACCACAAUUCCUGACACUGAUCUCCAUCGUGCUGUAGGAAGGAUCAUAGUCUGUGUUUUGGGGAAGCACUCAAGGCAGGGGUGAGAGACAGACUUUUCUCUAGGAAAAUGCCCUUUGCAGCAGAGUAAAAUAUACGAGUAUAGUAAGUUUUAUACUUCCUGUUUUUGAGUAGCAGUGAAACUGGCUAGACCACUGUAACUCAGAAUGCUAUGCUGGGAGUUGGGAGCAGGAAAAAGGGCAAAAUCUUAUUUCACCCCAAGGGAGGAGAAACAGAAAUGGAAGAGUGGGCACAGCCCCAUCCUUUACAACAGGGGUUCUCAACUUUUUUCUUUCUGAGGCCCCUCAGACAUGCCGUGAAAACUCCACGGCCCAUCUGUGCCACAAUAACUGGUUUUCUGCAUAUAAAAGCCAGAGCUGGCAUUAGGGGGUAGCAAGCAGGGCAAUUUCCCAGGGCCCCAUGCCACAGGGGGCACCGCAAAGCUAAGCUGCUCAGACUUCUGCUUCCACCCAGGUGGUGGGGAUCAGGGCCCCAGGCUUCAGCCCCAUGCAAUGGGACAUCGUCUUUCUGCCCUGGACCCCAGCAAAUCUAACACUGGUCCUACUGGUCCCCCUGAAACCUGCUUGCGGCCCCCCAAAGGGUCCUGGAGCCUUUGUUGAGAACCACUGCUCUACAGCAAUCAUAGCUAUAGGGAGUUAAGAGUGAGCAGGGUCUUCUACUCUAAAGGUAUAUUUACACUACCUGCCAGAUCGGCGGGCAGCAAUCGAUCCAGCG